CUUUAAACCAGCAUUGAAUUUCUUUCGAAGGAGUUACGCAAUACUGAAGCUCCAUCCUGGGAAUCUGUGACUCUGUUUCUACACACACACACACACACACACACACACACACAGUAGGGCUGUGAGCUGGACUGGGUGGACUACAGCUGCUGUGUUGUGGAAAUCGAGGACGUGGACUGCACCCCAGCUUAAGUGGGUCAGUUAAGCCCUUCCAUUAAACAUGGCUCUGGGAUGAGUCCAGAUGUUUCUGCCUGGCGCGCAGAGACCGAGAACAUGUGUGCCGGAUGUGAUGAAUGCAUAAUAGGGCCCAAAAAUCUAGUGCCGCUACCAGGACCUGUUUUUAUUUCAGUAGUUAUGUAAAAGUAACACAAUUUGAAAAAGUUAAGUUUGUCUGAAAUUCAUGAGAUUCUUUAUUAAAGAGUAGAACAGAUCAUCUGGUACUAAUCCAUUUAAUCUCAUGUGUCAGUUGCUAAGAAACAACACUUAACACUGUUAGCAUACACACACACCAGAUUUCUAUAUAUUUCAAGUUUGUAGCAAAAGUUCUGUGUCAAAACUUUCUGAGUCUGAUUGGCUCUCCUUGAUUCCUGCACCAGGUUUCAGACGUGUAAAAAAACGCAACCUGUGGUCACUGGAUUGAGAAAAAAAAAUCACAGAAUUGUGUCUUUUUCAAAUUUUUGAAGGUGUUUAAAGGUAUUUUUAUUUCAAGGAGCUGGAGAGUAAAUCAGAUGAUUUAAUUUCAGACUGAAAUGAAAAUAUUUGACGAUCUGAAGAGUUCCUAGUGCAGUCUGGUUGGUUGGAUAUGAUGUAAACGGACACUUCCUGUGAAAGUAAACGGUUCUGGGUCAGGUUUAGUGAUGAAACAAUACCAGAGUCUACAUGGAGAUAAAGUCACAUGGCCUGGAUUGUGAGAUUGGACUGCUGGGCUCGUGGGAUUUUUAACUAGAAUACACGUCUGGAGACGGUCUUUUAAAAUCCCGGCAGUGACCUGCAGUGAUAUCGAGCGUAAACAAAGCCACGCCCACGGGCUUUGGUUCCACCCCAUGGUUCUGCGUGUUAGUAUUGAUCAGAUAAUACUCACAAAUGCAUCUUUUUCACUCACUGUCCGAUUUAAACUCUGAUUUUAUUCAGGAAAGUGUUUUUUUGGAGAACAUGAUCGUGUGAACCUGCGCGUGUCUGUUGCGUGUGUUUAGCAUGUUUUAUGAGUGUGUUAGGACUGGGUUUAUCACGGCUGCUGACCCGGUUAGUACCUCGUGUCAUUUCUAAUUUGAUAAAGUGUUUGCAGUUUAAUUUCUCUUUGAUAUUACACUAAACCCUCGUGUGAGUGUGUGUUCGUGUGUGUAUGUGUGUGAGUGUAUGUGAG
ensembl:lncRNA